rnacentral:lncRNA from 1 species
GAGAGAAUAGGGAGAGAGAGAAGUAUUCUUAUUAAUACUUGGGGUGAUUUACAAUGGUAGAUGGCACCUCUAUUUAUAGGAAGAGUAAUGACUUAGCUUCAAGCUAAAACUCUUAUGACAUUCACUCUAAAUAGACUUCUAUUUUAUAACAAGUUAGCAUUUUUAAAACACACCAUACUUAUCAUAAUUGGAAGAUAAAGAUCUCUUUCGAAUAAGAAUUCUUCAGCAACUACAUCAAUUCAUUUAAAAAGCAGAAAAAUAUCACCGUGCAACUGUAAUAAAUUAUUCCAAAGUGACGAGAAAAAUGUCCUAAAAGAAUAAAGUUAAAAAGUAUAACAAACUAGGAAAAAAAGAAUGAAGAAUCACGUCCUAAAAGAAUAAAGUGAAAAGUGAAACAAACUAGGGAAAAAAAGAAUGAAGAAUCCCAAUUCUAAUCCAACUACAUUUUCCUCCUCCCUGUCAAAUCGUAUCAUAUCUAUUCUCUCAC